AUACGUAGGUGGCAAGCGUUGUCCGGAUUUACUGGGCGUAAAGGGAGCGUAGGUGGAUUUUUAAGUGGGAUGUGAAAUACCCGGGCUUAACCUGGGUGCUGCAUUCCAAACUGGAGAUCUAGAGUGCAGGAGGGGAAAGCGGAAUUCCUAGUGUAGCGGUGAAAUGCGUAGAGAUUAGGAAGAACACCAGUGGCGAAGGCGGCUUUCUGGACUGUAACUGACACUGAGGCUCGAAAGCGUGGGGAGC
rnacentral:rRNA from 1 species